GCGGGCUUUUCCGCCACGGUAGCACGUGGGCACUGGUCCUGGGAAAGUGUCACCAACGGCCGUAAAUGCAGGCACGUAGCAGUGCUUGUUUUCACGGCAAUAUCACCAGUGGUGUUGUCGUGAAGCGGUCUGAGCAAGGACCGCGCAAUGAAACGGUACAUUUGUAUCCUGAUCGUUGUAUCUGGUGCGUUGUUGUCAUCCGGGAACGGAGGCUGGAGUAUCUCCGGUAACUCUAUUUCGGUGACAAUCAACACAGCAGGCAAGUAAGCCAGGUAACCGCCCCCGUUCCACUCAGAGCGAGGGGCGGUUUUCCUU
rnacentral:sRNA from 1 species